GCAAACUAACAACUGCACAUUAAUGACCAUCUGUGUCUAGUCCAGAAUCGUGGACUGAUCUGUGUCCAGUCCAGCAGGAGCUAAUGAAAAAUAACACCACCAAGGAGAUAACAAAAGGGGACUCUGCCUUCAUAUCAAGCUCAGAUGAUGACAACAAAAUAUGCUGCUCAAGCCACAACAACUAUAAUGACAAUGAGCAGAAUGAUCCCAAAGAUCACAAGGAGUAAACAAAACAAAGAAGAAUUAGAUCUUUGGAUCUUGGAAGCUUUUGCAAGUUGUGAAGUAGCUUGUGCAGUUGCAGCAUGAGAGCUCUCAAUGUUAGAACCAAUAUCAUCAAUCAUAACUCCUUGCUCAUGUACCAAGACAGCAAGAUCUUUGAAUAUCUCACUUACUUCACUAAUCUGUUGCUGAAUUUCUUUAAUCCCCUGCUCUCGUUCUUCAAUAAUAGCUUCAUUAAAUGCUAUCUCAUUGUCCAACAAUACAAUCUCCUGUCUUCUAGAUUCUAAAAGAAGAGAUUGCUGCUCGGGACUCCUUGACGAACUUUGAUCAGGCUCAUGGGCAUUGUAGCUUGAUGGAAGAACUUUGGGAACGAAAGGAGCAUACAUAGUUUCCCUCUCAGCAGCAAGCCUUUGGGACUUCUGAAAUUCGUUAAGAGCAUUCCUAAACUCUUUUGCAAGCUUAGCAUCACUAAUCUUUUUGGCAGGACUAACUUCUUCAUAAUGAUCGGUUUCACUGGCUUCCUUAAGUUUAACAGAAGUUUCUUUCACCAGUUCUCCAAUACGUUGUCUUGUCUUAUGCAGUUUCUCUCGCAAUUCGAUGGUAUCCUUGGGAGUUCCGAGGGAAUUGACGAGGCGGUUGAAGGAGUAGACGGCAGUGUUGAUUUGGAAAAUCCCGGCGGCCACAGCUUGAGAAGGGUCUUUUUCUUUUGGCUUCUUUU
rnacentral:misc_RNA from 1 species